CUGACAUCCAUGAAGCCUGGAUCCCACGGGCAGGACUGUCUCAGCCCCUGGUCCCAGAGGAGAAAACCAAGGCUUGUUCCACCUUUGCCUCAGCUUCUCUGUGCGGCCUUGGCCAGGCCCUGACCCCCUCUGGGCCUCAGACCCUCACUCUAAAGGGAAAAAUCCAAGUACGAGAUGUGACAUGGGAGAUAGAAUGAGGUGCUCACCUGGGCUGGAAACCUUCCCCCACCUCCCCCUGCAGCCUCUCACCUCCUGACAGACACCCCUGUAAUAUACAGUCCAAUGUUUGUGCACAGAGGACGUCAUUCAUUUGGGUCUCUCCCAACGCCCCUUCAUUCAAAUUGAGAGUCUAGUCCUAGGUCAGUGCUUUCUCAGAUCCUUGCUCAAGGCCAAGGGUAUAGCAGUGGCCCUGCACAGACAUGAAGCCAAAGCCUCUGGCCCUGAAGCCACUCAUCAUAUGUCCCUACCCUGCUGAGAUCCACCCAUCUCCUGACCUCAGGCUCUGAAAGAUGGUGUGGGCUCAGCCAAGCCCAGCCGGGCAGCACAGAGACAGCCAGAGAGAGGUGGGCUGGGAAGAUGACCAGGGUCAACAUGUGCCAGUGCCUGCCAGUGCCUGAGCUGGUCCCAUACAACACUUGCUGGCCAACUCUGGACAUGCACCUGAACCCCUCUAGGCUUUGGAGGAGAGCAGUUGUCCCCACAGGACUGUGAAGGAAGCAGAGAAUUCACACCCUUUAGGGCUCAGGG
rnacentral:lncRNA from 1 species